GGGGGAGUUGGAGGGGAGCUGGAAGAUUGGGAUUGAGAUAUUUACUGACGUUAUGUAUAAAAUAGAAAACUGAUGAGAAUCUCCUGAAGAGCACUAGGAGCUCCCGUCAGGGCUCUGCGUCAUUUAAACGGGAAGGAAAUCUGAAAAGAGGGGAUGGAUGUGCACACACAGCUGAUCCACUUUCCUCUCCAGCAGAAACCGGCACAGCACUGAAAGCAACUACACUCCAAUAGAGAUGAACAAAAACAGAAGCGGUCAGUGGAUCUUCUCCACACACGGACAGCUCCUUUUCAAACCGCUGCCUCUGCACUGGGACUUGGGGCCGCUUACCUCACAUCCUUCAUCAUCUACUGGAAGAGCACUGAAGCCACACUGAAUUGGGAGUGUUUUCAGAGUGACGGAAGAAAGGGGAGGUACCUGCCGUCCAGUGACCCAGAGGUCCCAGAUGCAGUCACCACAGUUCCGACUCUUCUUGCUUCUGUCCUAUACAGGAGUAAACAAUACCCAGAGUUCACAUCUGUACCUCCUUCUAUUUCUAACAGACAGUGUGUGCUCAAUCGCCCAGUCGUGUCUGACUCUUUGAGACCCCAGGAACUAUAGCCCCACCAGGCUCCCCUGUCCAUGAGAUUUUCCAGGGAAGCUGUUGGCAACUCCAGCCUUUCCUUGACAAGGUCCUUUGGACGCAGCGUGCUGCCGCCAGGAGGGCUCAGCUGUGUUAGGAACAAGUGUUGUAUUGGUUUCUGCCAGACAACAACGUGAAUCAGCCGUGAGUAUACCCGUGUCCCCCCAACUCUUGAACCUCCCUCCCAC